rnacentral:rRNA from 1 species
UACGUAGGGGGCAAGCGUUGUCCGGAUUCAUUGGGCGUAAAGAGCGUGUAGGCGGCCUGAAAGGUCAGCUGUGAAAACUCGAGGCUCAACCUCGAGACGUCGGUUGAAACCAUCUGGCUAGAGUCCGGAAGAGGAGUGUGGAAUUCCCGGUGUAGCGGUGAAAUGCGCAGAUAUCGGGAAGAACACCCGUGGCUAAGGCGGCUCUCUAGUACGGUACUGACGCUGAGACGCGAAAGCGUGGGGAGCGAACAGG